rnacentral:rRNA from 1 species
CCCCCCCUCGAGGUCAUGUGGAGCGAAAUAAAGUAGUGAAGCGUGUGAGCCAUGUGCCGAGAAAAGCUGCUAUUGUGUAAUGCGUGCCCGUACCGUAAACCGACACAGGUGGAUGAGGAGAGAAUCCUAAGGCCGACGGAAGAAGCAUUGUUAAGGAAUUCGGCAAAAUGACCCCGUAACUUCGGGAGAAGGGGUGCCUGCGAGAGCAGGCCGCAGAGAAUAGGCUCAAGCAACUGUUUAGCAAAAACACAGGUCUAUGCGAAACCGAAAGGUGAGGUAUAUGGGCUGACGCCUGCCCGGUGCUGGAAGGUUAAGAGGAGAGGUUAGCGCAAGCGAAGCUUUGAAUUUAAGCCCCAGUAAACGGCGGCCGUAACUAUAACGGUCCUAAGGUAGCGAAAUUCCUUGUCGGGUAAGUUCCGACCCGCACGAAAGGCGUAAUGAUUUGAGCGCUGUCUCGACAAUGCAUCCGGUGAAAUUGAAGUACCAGUGAAGAUGCUGGUUACCUGCGCCAGGACGGAAAGACCCCAUGGAGCUUUACUCCAGUUUGAUACUGGGAUUCGGCAUGGUAUGUACAGGAUAGGUGGGAGACUGAGAAGGUAUGACGUCAGUUGUACCGGAGUCGCUGUUGGGAUACCACCCUUACCAUGUUGGAUUUCUAACCUGUGGCCGUAAGCCGGUCAGGGGACAAUGUCAGGCGGGGAGUUUGACUGGGGCGGUCGCCUCCGAAAGGGUAUCGGAGGCGCUCAAAGGUUCCCUCAGAAUGGUUGGAAACCAUUCGAAGAGUGCAAAGGCAGAAGGGAGCUUGACUGCGACACCGACGGGUGGAGCAGGUACGAAAGUAGGACUUAGUGAUCCGGUGGUAUAAAGUGGGAUUGCCAUCGCUCAACGGAUAAAAGCUACCCUGGGGAUAACAGGCUUAUCACUCCCAAGAGUUCACAUCGACGGAGUGGUUUGGCACCUCGAUGUCGGCUCAUCGCAUCCUGGGGCUGUAGUAGGUCCCAAG